GCUGACGAGCGGCGGACGGGUGAGUAAUGCAUAGGAAUCURCCCGGUAGUGGGGGAUAACCUGGGGAAACCCAGGCUAAUACCGCAUACGUCCUACGGGAGAAAGGGGGCUCCGGCUCCCGCUAUCGGAUGAGCCUAUGUCGGAUUAGCUAGUUGGUGAGGUAAUGGCUCACCAAGGCAACGAUCCGUAGCUGGUCUGAGAGGAUGAUCAGCCACAUCGGGACUGAGACACGGCCCGAACUCCUACGGGAGGCAGCAGUGGGGAAUAUUGGACAAUGGGCGAAAGCCUGAUCCAGCCAUGCCGCGUGUGUGAAGAAGGCCUUCGGGUUGUAAAGCACUUUCAGCGAGGAAGAACGCCUAGUGGUUAAUACCCAUUAGGAAAGACAUCACUCGCAGAAGAAGCACCGGCUAACUCCGUGCCAGCAGCCGCGGUAAUACGGAGGGUGCAAGCGUUAAUCGGAAUUACUGGGCGUAAAGCGCGCGUAGGUGGCUUGAUAAGCCGGUUGUGAAAGCCCCGGGCUCAACCUGGGAACGGCAUCCGGAACUGUCAGGCUAGAGUGCAGGAGAGGAAGGUAGAAUUCCCGGUGUAGCGGUGAAAUGCGUAGAGAUCGGGAGGAAUACCAGUGGCGAAGGCGGCCUUCUGGACUGACACUGACACUGAGGUGCGAAAGCGUGGGUAGCAAACAGGAUUAGAUACCCUGGUAGUCCACGCCGUAAACGAUGUCGACCAGCCGUUGGGUGCCUAGCGCACUUUGUGGCGAAGUUAACGCGAUAAGUCGACCGCCUGGGGAGUACGGCCGCAAGGUUAAAACUCAAAUGAAUUGACGGGGGCCCGCACAAGCGGUGGAGCAUGUGGUUUAAUUCGAUGCAACGCGAAGAACCUUACCUACUCUUGACAUCCUGCGAACUUGUGAGAGAUCACUUGGUGCCUUCGGGAGCGCAGAGACAGGUGCUGCAUGGCUGUCGUCAGCUCGUGUUGUGAAAUGUUGGGUUAAGUCCCGUAACGAGCGCAACCCUUGUCCUUAUUUGCCAGCGGGUAAUGCCGGGAAC
rnacentral:rRNA from 1 species